rnacentral:lncRNA from 1 species
CCCUACUCUUCUACCAUACCUUCUGGCACCGCUACAUUACAACCUGGUGCCUCCAUCACAUCAUUCAGCACCGCUACAGUACAAUUCGGUGCCUCCACUGUAUCAUCUGACACUGCCACAGGACCACUCGGUCCCUCUCCAGUAUAAUCAAAUCCCUCUUCCACGGGACUCAGUUCCACCCAUGAUGGACCCAUACUAUAUUGAAAGGUACGAAAGACUAAACUUAUCUACCUUUGUAGGAGUAUCCUCUUUUGAAGGGGCCGAGUAUUGGUUAGCUGAGAUAGAGAAGGCCUUAGCGACUCUUGGGGUAGUUUCCAAACAGAAAGUUGUACUUGCUACCUACAUGCUUCCAGUCACCUGGAAAUAGUUCUUGAUGGCCUU